GACCAAAAGAUUAAGUUAUAUGUAUAGGUAAAAAGAUAGUUAGGCAAUAUAAAAAGUUUAAUAACUUUCUAUAAAAAGGUAAAAUUUGAAUAUAGAAAAUUGAUUUUUUAGAAGCUAGGAUGCUGAAGCUAUGAUAGUUUUGAGGGAAACUGGGAUUAGAUACCCCAUUAUUCAUAAAUUGUAAAUAAAUGUUAAAUUUACCAGAGUACUAUGAAUAUAUAAAGAUUUAAAACUCAAAGGGCUUGGCGGUGUUUUAGACCAAUUAGGGGAACCUGUCUCGUAAUCGACAGUCCACGUUAUACCUAACCUCCUUUUGUAAUCAGUUUGUAUACCGUUGUCGUCAGGUAACUUUUAAAAAUAUAGAAGUUGGCAAUAUUAAUGAUACAGUUAGUUAAGACGUCAGAUCAAGGUGCAGCUUAUAAGGGGGAGAGGAUGGGUUACAAUUAUUUAUUAAUAAUUACGGAUGGUUUACUGAAAAAAUCUUGAAGGAGGACUUAAAAGUAAUAUUAUAAUAUAUAAACAAUUUGAAUUAGGCUCUGAAACGUGC
rnacentral:rRNA from 1 species